UAGGGAAUCUUCGGCAAUGGGGGCAACCCUGACCGAGCAACGCCGCGUGAGUGAAGAAGGUUUUCGGAUCGUAAAGCUCUGUUGUAAGAGAAGAACGUGUGUGAGAGUGGAAAGUUCACACAGUGACGGUAACUUACCAGAAAGGGACGGCUAACUACGUGCCAGCAGCCGCGGUAAUACGUAGGUCCCGAGCGUUGUCCGGAUUUAUUGGUCGUAAAGCGAGCGCAGGAGGUUUAAUAAGUCUGAAGUUAAAGGCAGUGGCUUAACCAUUGUUCGCUUUGGAAACUGUUAAACUUGAGUGCAGAAGGUGAGAGUGGAAUUCCAUGUGUAGCGGUGAAAUGCGUAGAUAUAUGGAGGAACACCGGUGGCGAAAGCGGCUCUCUGGUCUGUAACUGACGCUGAGGCUCGAAAGCGUGGGGAGCAAACAGG
rnacentral:rRNA from 1 species